rnacentral:rRNA from 1 species
UGCAGUCGAGCGGUAGCACAGAGAGCUUGCUCUCGGGUGACGAGCGGCGGACGGGUGAGUAAUGUCUGGGAAACUGCCUGAUGGAGGGGGAUAACUACUGGAAACGGUAGCUAAUACCGCAUAACGUCGCAAGACCAAAGUGGGGGACCUUCGGGCCUCAUGCCAUCAGAUGUGCCCAGAUGGGAUUAGCUAGUAGGUGGGGUAACGGCUCACCUAGGCGACGAUCCCUAGCUGGUCUGAGAGGAUGACCAGCCACACUGGAACUGAGACACGGUCCAGACUCCUACGGGAGGCAGCAGUGGGGAAUAUUGCACAAUGGGCGCAAGCCUGAUGCAGCCAUGCCGCGUGUGUGAAGAAGGCCUUCGGGUUGUAAAGCACUUUCAGCGGGGAGGAAGGCGAUAAGGUUAAUAACCUUGUCGAUUGACGUUACCCGCAGAAGAAGCACCGGCUAACUCCGUGCCAGCAGCCGCGGUAAUACGGAGGGUGCAAGCGUUAAUCGGAAUUACUGGGCGUAAAGCGCACGCAGGCGGUCUGUCAAGUCGGAUGUGAAAUCCCCGGGCUCAACCUGGGAACUGCAUUCGAAACUGGCAGGCUAGAGUCUUGUAGAGGGGGGUAGAAUUCCAGGUGUAGCGGUGAAAUGCGUAGAGAUCUGGAGGAAUACCGGUGGCGAAGGCGGCCCCCUGGACAAAGACUGACGCUCAGGUGCGAAAGCGUGGGGAGCAAACAGGAUUAGAUACCCUGGUAGUCCACGCCGUAAACGAUGUCGAUUUGGAGGUUGUGCCCUUGAGGCGUGGCUUCCGGAGCUAACGCGUUAAAUCGACCGCCUGGGGAGUACGGCCGCAAGGUUAAAACUCAAAUGAAUUGACGGGGGCCCGCACAAGCGGUGGAGCAUGUGGUUUAAUUCGAUGCAACGCGAAGAACCUUACCUGGUCUUGACAUCCACAGAACUUUCCAGAGAUGCAUUGGUGCCUUCGGGAACUGUGAGACAGGUGCUGCAUGGCUGUCGUCAGCUCGUGUUGUGAAAUGUUGGGUUAAGUCCCGCAACGAGCGCAACCCUUAUCCUUUGUUGCCAGCGGUUAGGCCGGGAACUCAAAGGAGAC